GCUGCACACUGGACAAUUUCGCUCCUCUUCCCGGAAAUGAGAUUUGGGGUUUUCCCACCUGGGAAUUUGAUAUCUAUUGCUUAAUCUCCAGACAGGAACUUCCAGCUGGCAAAUGGUGGACAGUAUCUGAAUCUAAGCAGAUUUAGAGAGGACUAUGAUACAGGAAAGAGGAGCCUGAAGUUGAUGAGGAAAGCAGAAGAGAAGCAUCAUAAAGAAUUGGAAAAUGGAGAGACACAUUCAAAAGGUGCUUUGUCCAAAGAGAGAGAGAAAAACACCAUCAAACAGAAGACUGCAAUAUGGCUCUUUCUCUUACAACUAUGAAACACUCUAGAUCAAUUCAUUCAUUCCCUCCGAUCACACUAAUAUGCUCAAGGAACAUAUAAAUGGGCAACAAGACUGUGUCUACCAGCUAAGCUUCCUCAGUGGUGUAGAGCAUGCCAUUCAUACUCACUGGCAUUCAGGGGCAACCAGAAUUCUCAAAUAUUUGGAGGAAUCAUUUGCACAUUCAACUCUUCAUACUAACAUUCAAUGGGUGGGCCUGCCCUUGGUGGGCAUGGCUAGCAUAAAGGGUCCUUUUUCAGCCUCAUGUGUUUCCUUUGUGAGAGAAGAAAAACAGCCCAUGUGUGUCACAAAUAUGUUAAUCAUAAGCCUAAAAAGUAUAA